UACGGAGGGUGCGAGCGUUGUCCGGAAUCACUGGGCGUAAAGGGCGCGUAGGCGGCCUGGUAAGUAGGGGGUGAAAUCCUGCGGCUUAACCGCAGGGCUGCCUUCUAAACUGUCAGGCUCGAGCACGGUAGAGGCAGAUGGAAUUCCCGGUGUAGCGGUGGAAUGCGUAGAUAUCGCUUGGAACGCCGAAGGUGAAAACAGGUGCUGGGUUGUGCCGACGCUGAGACACGAAAGCCAGGGGAGCAAACGGG
rnacentral:rRNA from 1 species